UACGUAGGGUGCGAGCGUUGCCCGGAUUUAUUGGGCGUAAAGGGCGCGUAGGCGGCUCGGCACGUCCGUUGUGAAAUCGCCCGGCUCAACUGGGCGGGGUCAGCGGAUACGGUCGAGCUUGAGCAAGCUAGGGGGUAAUGGAAUUCCACGUGUAGCGGUGAAAUGCGUAGAGAUGUGGAGGAACACCAAUGGCGAAGGCAGCCUUCUGGGCCAACACUGACGCUCAUGCACGAAAGCGUGGGGAGCAAACAGG
rnacentral:rRNA from 1 species